rnacentral:rRNA from 1 species
CCUGCCCAGUGAUAAAAUUCAACGGCCGCGGUAUCCUGACCGUGCGAAGGUAGCAUAAUCACUUGUUCUUUAAAUAGGGACUCGUAUCAACGGCAUCACGAGGGUUGCACUGUCUCCCCCCUCCAAUCAGUAAAACUGAUCUCCCCAUGAAAAAGUGGGGAUGGUAUUAUAAGACGAGAAGACCCCAUGGAGCUUUAAACCAAAUAGCAACUUAGCAAACUCCUUCAAGCUACAAAACCAUGCUAGCGGUUUUAGGUUGGGGUGACCCCGGAGUAAAAACUAACCUCCACAACGAAAAGGAUUAAACCUUUACCUAAGAGCUACAACUCUAAGAAUUAGAAAACUAACGAAUUGACCCGACAUCGAUCAAUGAACCAAGUUACCCUGGGGAUAACAGCGCAAUCUACUUCAAGAGUCCAUAUCGACAAGUAGGCUUACGACCUCGAUGUUGGAUCAGGGUAUCCAAGUGGUGCAGCCGCUACUGAAGGUUCGUUUGUUCAACGAUUAAAACCCU